GACGAACGCUGGCGGCGUGCUUAACACAUGCAAGUCGAACGGAAAGGCCCUGCUUUUGUGGUGUUCUCGAUUGGCGAACGGGUGAGUAACACGUGAGUAACCUGCUCUUGACUUUGGGAUAACUUCAGGAAACUGGGGCUACUAUCGUAUAGGAUCUCCUGUUGCAUGGUGGGGGUUGGAAAGUUUCGGCGGUUGGGGAUGGACUCGCGGCUUACCAGCUUGCUGGUGGGGUAGUGGCUUACCAAGGCUUUGACGGGUAGCCGGCCUGAGAGGGUGACCGGGCACAAUGGGACUAAGAGACGGAGCAGAGGGGUACGGGAGGCAGCAGUGGGGAAUAUUGCACAGUGGGCGGGAGCGUGAGGAAGAGGCGCCGGGUGCGGGAUGACGGCCUGCGGGUUGUAAACCGCUGUCGCCUGUGACGAAGCGUGAGUGACGGUAAUGGGUAAAGAAGCACCGGCUAACUACGUG
rnacentral:rRNA from 1 species